UGUCAGAUCUGGGGUCUAUCUGAUGUUGGUUCUGUCUGAUGGUGGUUCUGUCUGAUGUCGGUUCUGUCUGAUGGUGGUUCUAUCUGAUGUCGGUUCUGUCUGAUGGUGGUUCUGUCUGAUGGUGGUUCUGUCUGAUAGUGGUUCUGUCUGAUGGUGGUUCUGUCUGAUGGUGGUUCUGUCUGAUGUCGGUUCUGUCUAAUGUCGGUUCUGACUGAUGGUGGUUCUGUCUGAUGGUGGUUCUGUCUGAUGUCGGUUCUGUCUGAUGUCGGUUCUGCCUGACAUCCACUGCUACUGUCAUUAUCAGUAGUUACUUUCACAUUACUAUUGCUGACAACAUUACGGAGAAACCCUAUCCUUUGUACUCAUUUAACUUAAGGGCAGGAUACAUGUUUAAGGAACACAUUUACAUGUAUUAACCUUUUAAUAGUCUAUUCACAUUACUUGAAUUGAAAUAUUUCCAUUUCUAAACCAUGUGUGCAUGUGUGUGUCUGACAGCAGUGUGUGUGUCCGCAGCCUGCUGUGUUAUGCCUGGAUGAACUGCUGCUGAACUCUGCAUGACUGUGGCAUGAAAAAGUCACACACACACGUGCACGUUCCGAGGUCCCCUCACUGAGUCCUGUGUGUGUGUGUGCAUGUCUAUGCGCAAAUGUGUGUGUGCGGGUUAGAUUGUUGUGAACAAGUUAGUUAGUUAGUUCCUUCACACAUCCAUCACUGUGUCAUAAUGUUAUAAAAUACGAUAUGCAAUGUGUUUGUCACAACAAACGACGUGAUCGUGUAGCUAUCUAACAUCUUUUGACAGCUCACACAGGCCCAAUCCCCUUCUCCCCCCCCCUCCGUGAGGGUUUGGUUCUGUCCCACUGACACGUUGUGAAGCGUUCCAGUCUCCGGCUGACAUUUAGAGCCCUUCAUGAACCCUUUCUGUAAGUCAGCAUGCUGACUUUGCCCCAGGGGACAAGUCAUUGCAAUGGGACGUUAAGAAUGGGUUAACCUGUGGAAGGAUGCAGAUGUAAAGAAACGGUAAACAAAGAGGACGACACAUGUGUUCAGCCUGUGAUAUUUGUACUCAGAAACAUUGAGGAUUAAAAAUAGAAAAAAAUAGAACAAAGAAAUGUAUUUAAUUUUGUCAAUGAGUGAAUUGAUUAUUUGAACUGACCGUCUUCAUCUUGUGAGGACAGUCUGAAGACAUACAAAUCAGGGAGGAAAAGCACAAAAUAAUUACCCUCAAUUUGAAAUCCUAUUGUUUAUGUUGUCAUGGUAACGUGAGCCCUGACAGGCUCUCAAACUCAACCACUCACCAGGUGACCAAUUUUCUGAGCGUUCAGGGUUUGAGGGUUUGAGACCUCAGGGGGGACACACAGUGUACACAAUGGCGAGGGUAUCAUCCUCCGGGACAUGGGGGCGCUCACGCAAAGUUUGAUGUUUCUCUUGUACAACUGUUACACGUCAGGAAUCUGGGAGUUCUCUUCGACCAGGAUAUGACCUUCAACUCGCAUAUAAAGAAGACUUUAAGGACUGCCUUUUUUAAUCUACGUAACAUAUCAAAAAUCAGGAACUUCCUGACUCAAAGUGAUGCAGAAAAAUUAGUUCAUGCGUUUGUCACUUCCAGUUUUUUUUUGUGCUUUCUCCCCUAGCAGGUCUCCGUAGAUCGUGGUCCCUUCGGGACCCUGGUCCUGACACCUGCCGUGGCCCUGCUGACGCCUGCUGCUGCCAUCAUCAUCAUCAUCAUCAUCAUUAUUUUAGAUAUUAAUCAUAUUACUGUACUCGUAAACCAACAUUACCCUCUCCUAAAGUCUCUGUGCUCUCCCUCCUCACAGGCUUCUGUGGAUGGUGGUUCUAUCUGAUGGUGGUUCUAUCUGAUGGUGGUUCUAUCUGAUGGUGGUUGCCCCUGCAGUGGUCCUGCUGUGCGCCUGGCUUACUACUCAGUUACUUGAAUCAUUUCUGUCAUAGGAAUUGCAUGUAUUAUACAUUGUUCAUUCUGUACACAUGGCAUCCAUUGUAGUCUGUCCAUCCCGGGAGUGGGAUCCCUCCUCUGACGUUCUCCCUAAGGUUUCUUCCCUUUUUUCCCUCUUGGAAGGGGUUUUUCAUUUUUUGGGGAGUUUUUCAUGUGCCGAUGGUGGGUUUCGGGACAGAGGAUGUUGUAUGUGUACAGACUGUAAAGCCUUCUGAGGCUAAUUUGUCAUUUGCGAUUUUGGGCAAUACAAAAUAAAAAUAAUUGAAUCAAAUUGAAUUUAACUGGUACAGUGUAGGGUUAGGGUUAGGGUUAGGGUUAGGGUGUGUGUGUGUGUGUGUGUGUGUGUGUGUGUGUGUGUGUGUGUGUGUGUGUGUGUGUGUCAAAUCUGAGAGGUGAGCCACUAGCCGGGAAUCAAGUUGUCUGGCCACUGUUAUUUUUCUCGGCCUCCUGAUGACCCUUGAGGAGGUGUGUGUGAAUGUGUGUGAGUUCUUUUUGUAUACAUCAGUGACAGGAAGUGUGUGUCAACCACAACAAAAGUGUGUAUCCCCCCCCCUCAAAAAAAGUUGGGGGUAAACCUUUUUUGCGGGGAGGUUGGCCACAGUCAGGCACCACCUCUGACACACGUAGAACAUUAUUUGCAUGCAUGGCCCCUUAUUCUGAUGAAGGUUUCCACUGUUCAUCACACACUUGGGCUCAAGGUCCUGGGGUUACUAUUUGACACCAAUCAGCAUGUGGUACUUUAUGGCAGCCUCAUUAAUUGUGAUACGACAAACUGAUGGACAACUGCAGCCACAGUUUUACCGGUUCAUGGACCAGGACCGUAGAGAGAGGAGCCGUGGAGGAGGCAGGUCGGCCAUUACACCAGUACCCCUUUUCCACCAACAAGAACCAGGUGCUGGUUCGGAGCCAGAGCUAGAGCCGGUUCGGGGUUGGUUCAACUGACGAGCCUCCAAAGAACCGGUUUGCUUUUCCACAGGCUAAAGAGCCAGCGCACUGAGCGCAGAGCCAAGUCCUACGUCACAGUUACGUCUCAUCUUUCCCAGCAACGUUAGCGUGGCGGCGCCAAACACAAACACAUCAUCAACAAUGGCGGACUUUGGUUUGCUAUUGAUGUUCAUGGCUUUGCAGACCUACAUCGACAUCCAAACACGGCGGAUCGAACACGGCGGAUCAAACAUGUUCCCGCGGCUCGCCUUUAUUCGUUGUUGUGUCGUUGUUAGCUCGAUUAGCUGCUAUCAAAAAAUGGCGGAUCACAAAGUUUCUCUCGUCUUGUUGGUCACGGUAACCCCGCCCCCAGCCGCUGACGUAAGCGGUUCUUACUUCUAGACCAGCAAUGAUGUGGUGCUACUUAAGAACCACUUUUACUGGUUCGGAGCUGGUGCUUUGGUGGUGGAAAUCCAAAGAACCCAUUUGAAACCAGGCUCUGGCUCCGAACUAGCACCAGUUCUGCCUUGGUGGAAAAGGGGCCCGGAGGCCUUAUUUCAGAGACCUCAGCAGAGACAGGCUGCAUUCACAAGUCAGCCGUUGGGGCAAUUAGCACAGGGUCGUGCGACGGCGUGGGAGUGACACCUAAAUGGGCCAUUUGAGUGACACUCAUUUGAUUGACCCAUUUGAUUUGAAUGGCCCAUUCAUCGUUGGUUACCUGAUUGGCCACUGCAGUGUGACCAGGGUUCUACAAAAGUUGAUUGAAGGGUCUUUAACAGUGAGAGCGCCGCUUCUUCCAUUGAACUGAAACCAGGAUCUUUCCCUGACCUUUUGUUGCUCCUCAGCACAAAUGCUGAUUUCAUUUCCACCCUGCAUGGGAUAUUUAGUUGAUUAUCGCCUCACUCGAGGCUUGUGGGUGGAUUUGAACUUACAUUACUUAUUUAUUCCUGAAUGCCAGCAGACGGCAAUGACGUGGAGUACAUACAGCACCAAUAAACUAUAAUAUAAUAUAUAAUACAUCACAUAAAAGGAGAGCAAUAUAGCAUUACAAGCAAAUAACAAACAUAACUUAAUAAAACAUAGUCAUCAAACAGAUGCGUAUUAGAGGCCGCAUGUGACAUGCAGACUUUUAAUACACUAGGUAGACUUGUGGAGUCAGAGCAAGAUGAAACUUUAAAAUGACUCUUGUCGCGUGCUUUUAUUCAGUCCAGAUGAAAAGAGCAUGACUAUCAGUUUUAAAUCUAGAAUUUCCAUGUUGUUCUGCAUUUUAACAUGGUGUUUUAUCUGAAAAUGUUCACAUAUGUGGACUCAAAAGCUGAUCCAAUGGUUACUUAGAAAUGGGAUGUGGUGUAUAUAUGUAUUUUAGAGCUGGUUACCCCACUGUUCCUCCAGUGGAGCAGGUAUCGCCUGCAGCGCUCAUAUUUUAACUACGAUGUUCUCACACUAUACAUAAAUCAUAUUUGAUUUACUCUGAAAUUGAACUUUGUGAAUACUUUUGAGGUUCAUACUUUCUACAAAAACAUGGGCAUGUCAGCAUGCUAAGACAGGUCUCAGUUUGUGAAUGGGGGCUCGUGGACCGAGUAGCUGCCUUGCACACCCAUGUGGGGAGACUGGCACCACCAGCUCGUCAUGCAGCAUCUUGCAGUCUUUAGUUACACCAACGCACCUUUUUAAGUGUUCUAAAAUCCUUCAGUUGCAUCAUGCCCCGCUUUGUGCUUUCUCUGUUCAUCUUGAGUCCCUCUUGUGCGGUUUCAUCCUUCUGUCUCAUUGCUUUACAUUACAGGUCAUUUAUCCAAAGCGACUUACAUUACAUUUUUAACCCAUGGCUUUUACAUUUUUUGCCCGGGGAGCAAUUAGGGGUUAGGUGUCUUGCUUAGGGACACUUCGACAUGGGACAUUGGGCAGCCAGGACUUGAACCACCAACCUUGUGGUUCCCAGCGCACCCUCUCUACCCCGGCCUGAAGCUACUGUUUGGUGGAGUACAGCUACAUCCCUCACACAUCCUGGUCCUUUAGUUCUGAUGCAAGCUUCCAUAAUAUAGGAUCCUUGUUGAUGCUAGUUUUCAUGUCAAACCUGUCACGUUUUUCUCCUUGGCUGUCUACUGCACUCUGGAAGUCUAUAUAAUAUCUUUACCAUUGUCAUGAUAUUCAUCCAAAAUAAAUGUCUUUAUUUUUUUUAUCCCAAUCAGACAGUUAGAAUUUGGGAAUUACCUUUCAAAAACGCCUUACUCCGCUUUUUAAUGAAGCAAACCCCCCUGACCCUUCACCUGCCUCCUCAUCACUCUCCCCGCUGUCCCCAAAGAUUACGCUCCAUUGAGAGAGCUAUACGUCUACAAUAUGAAUGGAUUUGGUUCCCUUACAGUCAGCAUACAACUAGCAAAAUACAAGAAUCAGUGACCAUGGAAAAGGUUACAAGGAAAUUCUUCUUCUGUCUCUGUCUGAAACUCAUCCUAGACUACUCUGCAAUGAAGACACGAUGGUCCUUUGAAGGUGACAAUGAGAGAUGGCUCGUUUCAGAGCAAACACUGAGACUAUGAUUGAUCAUGAGAGCCAACAGAAAGUGAAACUGGAUGAUGAAUCUGUUCGCACAAAUGUGCAUUUGUGGGUGUUAGUGGGUGGCUUUGCGUGUAUGUGUGACCCUACGUGUGUGUUUGUGGGUAUUUGCAGGAAAUGGCAGCUUGCCAAACUAGAGCCCUGCUCAGACCCGUCGUCCUGUGUCCAGGUAUCUCCAGAGUGUAAAUCUCUUCACACCUGACAUCAGAAUGUGUCUCCUGCGACCGUUGGUUUCACUUCAUUGUUCUCUUUAUAUUUCCCCCAGAUGGAAGCUGCUAACUGCUCAUAACCGUUAUUAACUUGUGUGUUGGGUGAUUUAAGUACGUCAAUCAAUGUGUAUAGCCAUUUUUGUUUGACUUGACCUGUCUUUUACCUCUUUUACUCCUGUGCUCACCUGUGUUGGAAUAUUCUCGCCCUUGUGAUACUUCCUUCCACCUGCCCUCAUGUCUGUCCACUGGGUCUAGUGGUCUGAUUCUUCUGUAUUUACAGUCCUGUCUUUUGGUGCUUGGUUUGUUUGUUUCAUAGCAGAAGCCAAAUUAGCAAGUGAAUUUUUAUAUUAAUUUCCCCUUUCUUUGCUGUACUGGAUUGCCACCGAACCGUGACUUUUGUGUCCCAGUACGCCUAUAAUGUCUUCAUAAUUUUAAACAGACAAAACCAGUUUUUAAGACUUGUAAAUUCUAGGAAUAAUACUGCGUUCAUCCUCCUUACAUUUACGUGUUCAUACAUUGAGCUGGUGGAGCUUGGUGGAAAUGUACGCUUUCAUGAGUCUGGUUUUCCAUCUUCAAGCUGUCCGCCUCCAGUGCAUUGCAGCUCAGCUCACACCUGAGGGAAGGGCCUGGAUGGUAACCUCCAAAUGUAUUCCAGACCUGCUACUUUCUGUGACGCCCUUUGUUUCAUUGUGUGACAGUCGCUAGAUGUUCACCGUUACAUCCCCCUCACACGUUCCCCUCACGGGGGACUCCUUUGUGGUUGACACACGUUGUCUUGUACUCACGUGGUUCACGGGAGGAGUUAGGGAGGGGUCGUAGUUGUAUACUUGUUGUAUUAUGAGGAGUGUUUGUGGUUUUAUUAUGGUGGCGGGGAGCGGGGGCGGGGGGGGUCUUUGGGAAGCCCAAAUGGCUCUAGGGCAGGCAAUGUAUUUCAACCACUUUAAAAUGGAUUGCCAUGAAAUGGACUACACACUUCAUCCCAUCUUUCCCGUCCCGUAGUCGCCCUUAAAUUAUUUGAUUUGGCUGACAAAAUAUUUACUCCGAUACAGAUUUUGAAUUCACAUUCACAUUUUAAAAACACUUGGCCUUCUCUGUAAGGCCUCAUGUAAAUUAAUAAUGAUUUCAUCAGUGAACUUUGGGCAACAGAGACAUUUAAACAGGCCCUUAUCACAGAAAUACAGAGGUUCACAACAGUGAGCCGUGACAACGUUGUGCAUGAUACAUAAGCGGUUUUCUGGUAAAUUGUUUACUUUUCACACACUAGCAAAUGUUUCAAGGCCUGUGGGUUUCUUCUACCUUAAAACAUAUAUUACUAUAAAUGAAAUACAGUCAAAUGAAUUGUUGCAUCAGAAUAGUUACCUUGCUUGAAGAUUGAAACUAGAGAAAGUCACAACCUGCCUCUUAGGAUGCGACAAAUACGCUGCAGACGCCCCGGUGGAGGAAAAAACAACCAUUCAAUUUGAACUCUAAGCUGGUGUUUAUAUUGUCCCAAUCCUGUCAACACUCAAGUGAUAACAAGUUAGCUCAAAAAUAAAUCUGCCCAGUGUUAAAUACAUCACAUGUCAUUUAGCUGACACGUUUGUCCAAAGUGACUUAUAUUGCAUGUUUAACCCAUGGUUUCUACACUUUAGACUGGGGAGCAAUUAUGGUUUAGGUGUCUUGCUCAGGGACACUUUGACACGGGACAUGUAGCAGCCGGGGUUCUAACCGCCAACCUUGUGGUUCCCAACUCACUCUCUCUAUUCCACGCGUCACAGUACGUAGAGUUAAACCAAACACCAAAGAAGUGUGACGCUGUACAGUUACAUUUCAAACCUAUCAAACAUUUAACACUCUGUUAAGUGUUGCAAAUGAAUCUGAUCUUGACACUGAAUAAUGACUCCAGCUCUUUCCUACAAUUGACUCUGUAAGAGUUGAAUCCACUUUUUGCAGUGUGAUUUCAACUCUGCACUUUUGCGACACGCCGGAAAAUUAACUCUAAGAAUUUUGCAGUGUUCUGAUUUACAACAUUUAGAAAAAAAAAACACAUCUAUGGCUUUUUCUUUUUUUUUUCAAAGGCUAUUCUGCUUCUAUAUUACAAUCAGGGACAACAUGCCACAAAGGGCCUGGGGUUAUUUCCAGCCCUGCCCACCGUAUCACUUUGUACACUAGUGAAAAAUCCUCAACUUGUACAUUAAAGAACAAGGAACACACAAAUGGAGAAAUGAAAGUUUGUACAUUUUUUUGUACAUGGGGCACCAGACAAUUGAAAAAUUCAACUAGCUGGCAUAUUGCUCAAUUUGAUCUCAUACUAUAUAAGGAAGCUCAAUUAUUUAAAUAAAGGGUCGGAAUGAGUGAGUGCGUGUGGGCGGGCAUUCCCGUCCUUCCUUGCUUGCCUUGGGAACAAUUGCCUUUUUUCUGUCUUUCUUUCUUCCUCAUCAAAGGACUGUGGAUGUCUGAAAUGUGACAUGUACCUGUUAUAUCCUUUGGCUUCUCCAUGGCCUCCUGGCACACCACUAUAUGAUCUCAGGUCUGUACAAGGUAUUCUAUACAUUUCUAAAUGUUCAAAGUAUGUUUUACAAGUACAAGUCAAAGGAUUGUACUUAGUAAAUGAGAUGUGAUGAAAAAAUCAAAUGUAUGACAGACAUCAACCAUGUGUGUGCAUGUGUCCAGCCUGGAGUGUCUAUGCUUGUCAAUCAGGGUUUACGAGGGUGGCAUUUGGGUGUAAAUUAAGUUGAGGAGACGUUAAAUAGCUCUAGAGAACGAGUGUGUCAUUUAUUUCCUUUUUUAUUGUCUUUUAGAUGUUUGAUUGCUUCUGGGCUCAUUAAAGUGGGGAAUCCUUGUAAAGGUCCUGUGACGUGACACUCGUGACCUCAAAACCCUGUUUGGCAUAAAUAAAGUUUGAGCUUAGCUACUUUCAAAAGGGUACAUUUUUAUACAUUAUUUUGGGGCAUAUGACAUUUUUACCUUUUACCAAUUGAGUUAGACACUUGGAGGUGAUACCAGUAUAAAAAACAAAGAAUGGUAUCGUACAAGUCAGUGAUUUUCAAUCAUCAGGUCUCGGUGCUGUAGGAAAAUGUCUGAUUUUAAUUAAUCCGUCCAAAAAAAGAGAAGAUUGAGAAUAAACUGAGAUGAAAGCUUAGUAUGAGUGGUGGUCAAAAGAAAGAAAAGACAUUGAGCUGAAGGCAAUAAAGUGAAAGUUAUCUUUUGGUGGUCCCAAGCAAGCUUAAAGGUCAUCUCCAAACAAAUCACCUGUCACUUCAUCAGUGAUUCAUUGUGAGCGAGAAGCGAGACGUCCAUCUCUCACGCAACAAUAUUGACAUGCAGUAAACACACAGACAUGUUCGCGGACAACAAAAG
ensembl:lncRNA